rnacentral:rRNA from 1 species
UACGUAGGUGGCAAGCGUUGUCCGGAUUUACUGGGCGUAAAGAGCGCGCAGGCGGUCGUUCAAGUCGAGUGUGAAAGCCCCCGGCUCAACUGGGGAGGGUCACUCGAUACUGAUCGACUUGAAGGCAGGAGAGGGAAGCGGAAUUCCCGGUGUAGUGGUGAAAUGCGUAGAUAUCGGGAGGAACACCAGUGGCGAAGGCGGCUUCCUGGCCUGUUCUUGACACUGAGACGCGAAGGCGUGGGGAGCGAACGGG